rnacentral:rRNA from 1 species
CCUGACGCAGCGACGCCGCGUGAGUDAUGAAGGCUUUCGAGUCGUAAAGCUCUGUUAGGUGGAAAGAAACAUUCCAGUGCCAAUACCACUGGAACUUGACGGUACCACCAGAGGAAGCACCGGCUAACUCCGUGCCAGCAGCCGCGGUAAUACGGAGGGUGCAAGCGUUGUUCGGAAUUACUGGGCGUAAAGGGCGUGUAGGCGGUUAGGCAAGUCAGGKKUGAAAUCCCUUGGCUCAACCAAGGAAGUGCGCUUGARACUGCUUAACUAGAGUACAGGAGGGGAAAGUGGAAUUCCCAGUGUAGWNNNNNNAUUCAUAGAUAUNGGGAGGRACACCGGUAGCGAAGGCGGCUUUCUGGSCUGAUACUGACGCUGAGACGCGAAAGCGUGGGGAGCAAACAGGAUUAGAUACCCUGGUAGUCCACGCCGUAAACGAUGUGCACUAGGUKWAGGGARUKUUAMCCUUUCUGKGCCGAAGCUAACGCAUUAAGUGCACCGCCUGGGGAGUACGGUCGCAAGGCUAAAACUCMAAGGGAUUUACGG